UCGAUGCCUUUACCAAUGGGUUUGUACCGUACAGUUCCUUGUUCCCCUUCUCUCCGUGUUUCUCGCAAAUGUACCGGCAUAUCGCUCGAGACUCUGGUCAUAUUUUUAUUUAUUAUUUGAAUUAUUAUUUAAUUUAAUCUAAUUUAAUUUAAUUAAUUAUUUAACUUACCGAAUAGGGAAAUAUCAUCGUCCUCAAAUGCAGGUACUUGAGCAAAAGGCUGCAAUGAAAGGAAGGAAGUGUGAGUGUGAGAAACAAAUUGAAAUGAAUUAGUAAUGACCUACCUGGAUUUUGAGGAAAUUGGGCUUCUUGUGUUCUCCUUUGGAC
rnacentral:lncRNA from 1 species